rnacentral:rRNA from 1 species
AACGAACGCUGGCGGCAUGCCUAACACAUGCAAGUCGAACGAGACCUUCGGGUCUAGUGGCGCACGGGUGCGUAACGCGUGGGAAUCUACUCUUGGGUUCGGAAUAACUCAGAGAAAUUUGAGCUAAUACCGGAUGAUGUCGCAAGACCAAAGAUUUAUCGCCCAAGGAUGAGCCCGCGUAGGAUUAGCUUGUUGGUGAGGUAAAAGCUCACCAAGGCGACGAUCCUUAGCUGGUCUGAGAGGAUGAUCAGCCACACUGGGACUGAGACACGGCCCAGACUCCUACGGGAGGCAGCAGUGGGGAAUAUUGGACAAUGGGCGAAAGCCUGAUCCAGCAAUGCCGCGUGAGUGAUGAAGGCCUUAGGGUUGUAAAGCUCUUUUACCCGGGAUGAUAAUGACAGUACCGGGAGAAUAAGCCCCGGGCUAACUCCGUGCCAGCAGCCGC